AAAAAACACAUUCAUAAAAAAAUACAAAUACACACAUUUACUAUUACUAUAUUUUCCUUUUUUUUCCACAUUUGCAAGCUACAAAUUAUAAAAAUUCACAACUAAACAAAUAGUACAUUAAACAAUUUGAAAUUUACAAAAUAAAACCCCAUAAAAUUCAGAACAAUGCCAGGCAGCCCUCUCACACUUCAAGAACAACGGUGGCGCUUGGCUUCACACGCCGCCGCAUGCAAAACCUACAAACGGGUGGUCUGGCUUGGCUUCUUCUCCUCUUCCUUUUUGCACUGGCAGUGACAAGCAAUAUCACCUGCAAAGUAAAUAAAACAUGGCAAACAGUCGAUUUUGUUCGGUUUUAGAUAUGUUCAAAGCCUUAUGCUCUCUUUACCUCCUGGUUAGGUUUUUUCUUCUACCAAUGGCAAAUCUGGUUGUUGAUGUCGUCUGUGGCUGCUGAAACUACAAUGGAUAUGGGAGGUGGUUGUCCAGUCAGGAGGUUCAGUUGGAAGUGGAUCUACGGGUCCAGCCAUGAGCAGGGUGCUGCUGGGGGUCUACUUUGGGUCUUGGUAAGCUGGUCGGUGAUGGUGCGAAGAAGACAGGAUGAGCGACAGACAGGUUUGUGGUAUGCAGAGGGAAGGUCUUGGUCGGACAUGUGGUGAGCAGCUGGAGGAAGGGAGCUUGUUCGGUGUGGGAGAUGGAGGUGCAGCGAUGGCUGGCUUCUAUAGGUGAAAAAGAAGAACAAGCCAGCUGAGAGAGGAGAUGAUAGAGGGAGUGUUGGCUGUUGUGGAGGGAAAUGGGGCUGCUGUGAUGUAGAUUGAAGAUGAGAGGAAAUGGGGGAAAGAUCGGGUGUCGGUUGAAAGGAAAAUGAGGGCUAGUCUUCUUCUCAGUCGGCUUAAGGGAGAACAAAUGGAAAUGAGGUUAGAGGGGGGUGGCGACACUGCUUUGAGAAGGUAAAGUUAGGUCAUUUUUAGGUUUUUUUUUAUGGUUCUUUCCUUUAUGCACCAAAAUUACCCUCU
rnacentral:lncRNA from 1 species